rnacentral:lncRNA from 1 species
GUUUAGGUAGGGUAUGAAAUUGGAACAACGGUUUUUGGGUCUUUUGGUUCAGAGUACAUGAAAUCAUUCUCUCACUACGUUUCUUUCCUAUUAUUCCUGUAGGGUUUUGCAAUCCUCUUUUCCUUUUAUCUAUAGUGAAUGUAGCAUUUUUCAAAAGCUGUUCUUUUAUUGUUUUUCGCUUUUCUCUUUCUUUCUUUUCAUGUUGUUGUUGUUUUUCUUUUCUUUUUUUUUUCUUUUUUUUUCUUUUAUACGACAUUCACUUACUAUUCACUUACUAUUCACGUACUGCAAAGCUACCCCAAACUUAAAGGUUGCUAUUCCAACAGCAACCCCAAACUUAGAUAGAAACGUAGAGAUGAACUCAAUCCUCACAUACUCUGAACAGGGUAGGAUAGGUACAAGGUCAUGGCUUUAGAAAAAAUGGGUAUAUCAGAAAUAAAUGAUUAACAGGCUCAACAGGGUAAAACAAUGGAUAAUAAUAAUAAUGGGAUGGCUAGAAAGGCUCUAGGUGAUAAAUAAAAAACAUGCCUCAGUGUGUGUAGUCGUACAGCUAAUAAUAACAAAAGAACAUACGCAAACUAAGAUUGAUAAAGACAUACCUGAUAUCUCUCAUAUGAUGAUAAGUGUUUGGCUUUUUCUGAUCUCACCAGGACGGGUUAAGCUGACUUGUUCUAUCAUACCUCUGAGUUCAAAGCUCAUGCUCGUGGUUCUGAUGUUAAUCUUAACCAGUGCGUCCAAUCAUAAACAACAGUAUCUACAGUCAGGGGACUGAAAGAGAGGACGCCCAAGUAUUUGGUGUAAGUGAUCAAGAAAACCAAUAGCCAGACAUAGUCACAUAUCUAACGAAAUAAACAGGAAAAUGGAGGUAAACAAAAUCAAAUUCAUUAGAUUAAGACAACCCAUAAUAGGUGAUUACAUCAAAGCAAAAGAAAAUAAAAACUGAAUCAACCUAAAAAAAAAACAAAAAUACACAAAGAAAUUUCAAACCUCCCUUGGGUUGCCUCCCAAGCAGCGCUUCGUUUAACGUCGCAUGGCUCGACGGGACACCUCAUACUCAGAUGAGUUUAACAGUUUCAAUUGGUCCCCCUUCACCGGGAUCAUAUGGUUUCAACCUCUGACCAUUAACCUUGAAGGUGUCGCCAUUCUUCUCAUUUAAAACACCAAUACCACUUUUAUGUUUCUUCAGUACCUUUUCAUCUUCUAAUUCUGGUGAAGCUCUCAGAUCCUCCCACCUGCGUGGGUUG